CACGCUGUAAACAAUGAUCACUAGCUAUCGGCGAUAUACAGUCGGUGGCACAGCGAAAGCGUUAAGUGAUCCACCUGGGGAGUACGCCGGCAACGGUGAAACUCAAAGGAAUUGACGGGGGCCCGCACAAGCGGAGGAACAUGUGGUUUAAUUCGAUGAUACGCGAGGAACCUUACCCGGGCUUGAAAUGCAGAGGAAUAACGGUGAAAGUCGUUAGCCAGCAAUGGUCUCUGUGUAGGUGC
rnacentral:rRNA from 1 species